CGUGAGCAAUCUGCCUUUGGAUGGGGGAUAACAGCCGGAAACGACUGCUAAUACCGCAUAAUGCAGCAGGACCGCAUGAUUUUGCUGCCAAAGAUUUAUCGUCCAAAGAUGAGCUCGCGUCUGAUUAGCCAGUUGGCGGGGUAACGGCCCACCAAAGCGACGAUCAGUAGCCGGACUGAGAGGUUGAACGGCCACAUUGGGACUGAGACACGGCCCAGACUCCUACGGAAGGCAGCAG
rnacentral:rRNA from 1 species